rnacentral:rRNA from 1 species
UAAUACGUAGGGCGCAAGCGUUGUCCGGAAUUAUUGGGCGUAAAGAGCUCGUAGGCGGUCUGUCGCGUCGGAUGUGAAAGCCCGGGGCUUAACCCCGGGUCUGCAUUCGAUACGGGCAGACUAGAGUGUGGUAGGGGAGAUCGGAAUUCCUGGUGUAGCGGUGAAAUGCGCAGAUAUCAGGAGGAACACCGGUGGCGAAGGCGGAUCUCUGGGCCAUUACUGACGCUGAGGAGCGAAAGCGUGGGGAGCGAACAGGAUUAGAUACCCUGGUAGUCCACGCCGUAAACGGUGGGAACUAGGUGUUGGCGACAUUCCACGUCGUCGGUGCCGCAGCUAACGCAUUAAGUUCCCCGCCUGGGGAGUACGGCCGCAAGGCU